UCAUCACAGGUACACCGUUUUACUGGCGUCAAGUGGAGCUCCAGCAGAUGACAGCUCAGUACCAGACUCAUAAUGUCAGUCAACAGCACAUAUUACAGCCCGACAGUGAAGAAAAGCGACACAAAGUGCAGAAAUGGAGAGUAACGCGACUCACCUCAGUGAAGAUACACACGUGUGUCUGUUGUGUUUCUGCUGCACAUCUUUCCUCUUUCUGACGCUCCUCCACAUCCAGGCGGAUUCACAGCUCCAGUAAAGCUCACACACAGGUCAGCAGUCAAACAUCAGUUCCAGCAGGUGUUCAGACAGGAGAUCUGUGGCUCUGUGGUAAGAGCGCUGCCCCACGGCUUCAGGGGUUGCUGGUAUCGGUCCCAGCCAGAACUCUGCGAUAUGUGUGAAUGGUGAGUGAGUGUGAGGCGCGCCUGAAGAAGGGGGGAUACCAGUUCGGUCUCCCCCUGGAGCUUCCGGAGCCGUGUCCAGCAGGGGUUAUACUU